rnacentral:rRNA from 1 species
UUGAACGCUGGCGGCAGGCCUAACACAUGCCAGUCGAACGGUAACAGGAAACAGCUUGCUGUUUCGCUGACGAGUGGCGGACGGGUGAGUAAUGUCUGGGAAACUGCCUGAUGGAGGGGGAUAACUACUGGAAACGGUAGCUAAUACCGCAUAACGUCGCAAGACCAAAGAGGGAGACCCUCGGGCCUCUUGCCAUCGGAUGUGCCCAGAUGGGAUUAGCUUGUUGGUGGGGUAACGGCUCACCAAGGCGACGAUCCCUAGCUGGUCUGAGAGGAUGACCGGCCACACUGGAACUGAGACACGGUCCAGACUCCUACGGGAGGCAGCAGUGGGGAAUAUUGCACAAUGGGCGCAAGCCUGAUGCAGCCAUGCCGCGUGUAUGAAGAAGGCCUUCGGGUUGUAAAGUACUUUCAGCGGGGAGGAAGGGAGUAAAGUUAAUACCUUUGCUCAUUGACGUUACCCGCAGAAGAAGCACCGGCUAACUCCGUG